CUAUUAAGUUAAGCACUCUAACGAGACUGCCGCGGUUAACGUGGAGGAAGGUGGGGAUGACGUCAAAUCAUCAUGCCCCUUAUGUCUAGGGCUACACACGUGCUACAAUGGCUGGUACAACGAGCAGCAAACCCGGGAGGGGGGGCAAAACUUGAAAGCCAGUCCCAGUUCGGAUUGUAGGCUGAAACUCGCCUACAUGAAGUUGGAGUUGCUAGUAAUCGCGAAUCAGCAUGUCGCGGUGAAUACGUUCCCGGGUCUUGUACACACCGCCCGUCACACCAUGAGAGCCGGUAACACCCGAAGCCCGUGAGGUAACCGUAAGGAGCCAGCGGUCGAAGGUGGGAUUGGUGAUUGGGGUGAAGUCGUAACAAGGUAGCCGUAGGAGAACCUGCGGCUGGAUCACCUCCUUUCUAGGGA
rnacentral:rRNA from 1 species